UGACACUGAGGAGCGAAAGCGUGGGGAGCGAACAGGAUUAGAUACCCUGGUAGUCCACGCCGUAAACGGUGGGCACUAGUUGUGGGAACCUUCCACGGUUUCUGCGACGCAGCUAACGCAUUAAGUGCCCCGCCUGGGGAGUACGAUCGCAAGAUUAAAACUCAAAGGAAUUGACGGGGCCCCGCACAAGCAGCGGAGCAUGCGGCUUAAUUCGACGCAACGCGAAGAACCUUACCAAGGCUUGACAUAUACAGGAAUAUGGCAGAAAUGUCAUAGCCGCAAGGUCUGAAUACAGGUGGUGCAUGGUUGUCGUCAGCUCGUGUCGUGAGAUGUUGGGUUAAGUCCCGCAACGAGCGCAACCCUCGUUCUGUGUUGCCAGCAUUUAGUUGGGGACUCACAGGAGACUGCCGGGGUUAACUCGGAGGAAGGUGGGGAUGACGUCAAAUCAUCAUGCCCCUUAUGUCUUGGGCUGCACGCAUGCUACAAUGGCUGGUACAAACGGCUGCGAUACCGCAAGGUGGAGCGAAUCCGAUAAAGCCAGUCUCAGUUCGGAUUGGGGUCUGCAACUCGACCCCAUGAAGUCGGAGUUGCUAGUAAUCGUAGAUCAGCAACGCUACGGUGAAUACGUUCCCGGGGCUUGUACACACCGCCCGUCACGUCACGAAAGUCGGUAACACCCGAAGUCAGUGGCCCAACCGCAAGGAGG
rnacentral:rRNA from 1 species